rnacentral:rRNA from 1 species
AAGCGAUUCCGGCUACGGAUGGUCAUGCUUCGCAUUAGUUAGUUGGCGGGGUAACGGCCCACCAAGGCGACGAUGCGUAGGGGUUCUGAGAGGAAGGUCCCCCACACUGGUACUGAGACACGGACCAGACUCCUACGGGAGGCAGCAGUGAGGAAUAUUGGUCAAUGGCCGCAGGGCUGAACCAGCCAAGUCGCGUGAGGGAUGACGGUCCUAUGGAUUGUAAACCUCUUUUGUCAGGGAGCAAAGGGCGCCACGUGUGGCGCUUUGCGAGUACCUGAAGAAAAAGCAUCGGCUAACUCCGUGCCAGCAGCCGCGGUAAUACGGAGGAUGCGAGCGUUAUCCGGAUUUAUUGGGUUUAAAGGGUGCGCAGGCGGAAUGUCAAGUCAGCGGUAAAAUUUCGGGGCUCAACCCCGUCGUGCCGUUGAAACUGGCGUUCUUGAGUGAGCGAGAAGUAUGCGGAAUGCGUGGUGUAGCGGUGAAAUGCAUAGAUAUCACGCAGAACUCCGAUUGCGAAGGCAGCAUACCGGCGCUCAACUGACGCUCAUGCACGAAAGCGUGGGUAUCGAACAGGAUUAGAUACCCUGGUAGUCCACGCAGUAAACGAUGAAUACUAACUGUCCGGGCAGAAUGAUGCCUGG